GGCUCCAUAGCUCAGGUGUCAGAGGUAUAGUCUUAUGAACCAGCAGCUGUGAGUUCAAACCUUGCUGGGGCCU
rnacentral:tRNA from 1 species